AGUGAACGCUGGCGGUAGGCCUAACACAUGCAAGUCGAACGGCAGCACGGUAAGAGCUUGCUCUUACGGGUGGCGAGUGGCGAACGGGUGAGGAAUACAUCGGAAUCUACUUUUUCGUGGGGGAUAACGUAGGGAAACUUACGCUAAUACCGCAUACGACCUACGGGUGAAAGCAGGGGAUCUUCGGACCUUGCGCGAUUGAAUGAGCCGAUGUCGGAUUAGCUAGUUGGCGGGGUAAAGGCCCACCAAGGCGACGAUCGGUAGCUGGUCUGAGAGGAUGAUCAGCCACACUGGAGCUGAGACACGGUCCAGACUCCUACGGGAGGCAGCAGUGGGGAAUAUUGGACAAUGGGCGCAAGCCUGAUCCAGCCAUACCGCGUGGGUGAAGAAGGCCUUCGGGUUGUAAAGCCCUUUUGUUGGGAAAGAAAAGCAGCAGGUUAAUACCCCGCUGUUCUGACGGUACCCAAAGAAUAAGCACCGGCUAACUUCGUG
rnacentral:rRNA from 1 species